rnacentral:rRNA from 1 species
UUUUCGCAAUGCCCGAAAGGGUGACGAAGCGACGCCGCGUGGGUGAGGAAGGCCCUCGGGUUGUAAAACCCUGUCAGGAGUUAUGAAAUAUAAGUACGCUAAUAUCGUGCUUAUUUGACAAAGGCUCCAAAGGAAGCCACGGCUAACUCUGUGCCAGCAGCCGCGGUAAUACAGAGGUGGCGAGCGUUGUUCGGAAUUAUUGGGCGUAAAGAGCACGUAGGUGGGUUUGCAAGUCAGAUGUGAAAGCCUUCUGUUCAACGGAAGAAUUGCAUCUGAAACUGCUAAUCUUGAGUAUAGGAGGGGAGAAUGGAACUUCUGGUGGAGCGGUGAAAUGCGUAGAUAUCAGAAGGAACGCCGGCGGCGAAAGCGAUUCUCUGGCCUAUUACUGACACUCAGUGUGCGAAAGCUAGGGGAGCAAACGGGAUUAGAUACCCCGGUAGUCCUAGCCGUAAACGAUGGGCACUAAGUAGAGGGGUUUUAAUC